UCACUCUCUCUCUCUCUCUCUCUCUCUCUUCUUCCUUCUUCCUUUGGACACAAAUUCCAUUUUACUUUUCAUUUUUUUUCCACCAUUUUUAAACUCUCGAACUCCUCGCAUUCUCUCUCCUUUCCUCCUCUUCUUCCUCCUCCUCAUCUUCUUCGUCUCGCCAGAUCUCUCUCUGUAAUUGGGGUCAAGUCCGCCGGGCAAUCCCGGCGUUUGCCCGUUCGCCGGCCAUCUCGCCGGCAAUGCCGGCUCAGAUCUACUGUCGUUAGCUUGAUGCGCGACUCCGUGUGCUCUUUCUAAUCCUCACACCAACAUUCGGCGGACGAUACCUGUAAUUGAGAGAUGGAGGUGGAGAAAAGACGGAGGCUUCCUACAUUUUUUCGACUGGAAUAGCAAGUCCAGGAAGAAGCUGUUCUCUAACAGUCCUGAGAUACCUGGUCCUGCAUGCUUUGUUUCUUAUUAUAGAUGGAGUUAAGCAAGGAACAGAUGAUGCAGAGAUUUUGGCGAAGUCAAGGUUUCAGAUGGUGGGAGUUUUUUUGACACUACUGUUGUCAAAAUCUUUUUUAGUCGUGUAUGAGUUCCAUCUAUUUGACUUGCAUAAUUUGUUGCCUUGUUGUAGAAUGUUAUUGAUGAUUAGCAUUUGCAGAGGUUAUGUAGGUAUUUCUUGUCCACUCCACCACGACGAUGAUGGCCUUGGAAUAGUGUGCACUGGGUUUGAAUAGAUUGGAGUGGGUUUAGUGAAGUAGUAGUCCUACUGACGAGCAAAAUGUCCGCCACCGGUCCAGCUUGAUGUGCUUAGGUUACUUUGGAUGGUGGUUUCUCUUGAUUAUUGGCCCAAUUUGUGUGAUAUCUGGUCAACAGGGAAUGACAUAAUUGCUUGUGCGCGCGAAUAAUAUGUGAAAUUGAUUGAUUGUGCAUAUUUCUAAUUGAGGAGAUUCAUUGCGUUUAGUCUCCAUCCUGAUGAUGGCUAUGGAUAUGGAAUCGUUUAGUUUGGAUUUUACAAACCCAAAUCGCAAUUUUGAUUCCAUUGCCCGUAAUGCUUAACCAAAAACAGAAUUAAUUAAGAAUUAGAUAAGAUUCCAUUUUCGUGUCACCAUAGAUUUUCAACUCCCAUUUUCAUUCAAUUUAGAUCACCAUGCUUCUAAAUAGGCAUCUAAUUUUCAAAGAAAUUUCAAGGGUGCUCUUAGAUGGUCUGCAUUGACUGAACUAACUUAGAUUUAAUCGAUCGAAAAAUCCAUCGCAUUAUUUUCGGGCGAUCUCCUUAACAUUGCUAGGCCUCGUUGACGUCUUAUUCUCAUGGCCAUCGUGUUAGGACAGUAACAUUUUGUUGGCUUAUGGAGUCUUGAUUUAUUCUUCCAGAUUUAAGAGCUUUCAUUUCGUUACCUGCGUGGCUACCUCAGCGAUAUACUCUCCUAGAAAGAUGAAAUUGACAUUUAACUUAUUGUGUUCGGGUAACGUUGACCAUUACAUUGGCGAUUUGGGCAAGUCGAGGUCAACACACGUAGAGUCACAUUGACCAAAUUGGUUAGAUAGUAAGCUCAGAAAUUGCGGGUCGGGAUCUUUUGGACUCGUGGCCUGGCUUCACGACCGUGCGUGGCUACUUCUGCAGCCACGACGUUUGCAUUUUCAACUUGCAGGAAAAAGGUAUGACGAAACUUGGCCUUCAAAGUACAGCUCGAGGAAUCACUCUACCUCGCAUUCAUCAAAUUUCAAUCACGCACCGUACCCUCGUGUGCACUCAGCGGCAGCCUCAACACGGACUCCACAGGCAAGAUGCUCUCGCUCAGGUCCUGCAAGAAGUUUGCUCUCCGCACAAGUCACAAAUGACUUAACCUGCAAUAUUAUAAA